AAAAUCCGCAACAACUUAAAAAUCCGCAACAAAUUAAAAAUCCGCAACAAAUUAAAAAACCACAACAAAUUAAAAAUCCACAACAAAUUAAAAAACCGCAACAAAUUAAAAAUCCUUGACGGAAAGGGAUUGUCUGAAAUACCGGAAGUGACACAACGAUUAGCCUAAUAGGGCUUUUGGAGAGUGAUGUCACGAGAGGGGGCGUGGCCAGGAUUUUGGGUUGAGGCGCCAUGUUUCUGGCGCUAGCGAAAGAGGAGCGAAAGUACACGGAUAACACCAGCUAUGGUUCGCACUUGCUGUGCGGUCGGUUGUAAAGUUAGAUCGCACGACCGGCAAGGGAAUAAGGUUGAAAAUGGUUUAUCUUUUCAUUCUUUCCCCACCUGGAAGCAGCAUGAGGCAGCUCAUGUAUCGGAUGUUACCAAAAGAAGGCGUCUAGUCUGGAUAGCAGCUGUGAGACGAGCUGAUAUCCAGUUUUCUUCCAUCUCCAAAUAUCUGUUGGUGUGCUCCAGACAUUUUCAUUCCGGUCCUGCACUCUCAAAGACUGAAUGAACCAGCAUUGCAGCCAUGGGUCAUUGUGAGCAUCACAGGGAAGGUUGAAGCCGCCCACUGCACCUGUAUGGCCGGAAUCGUGGAGACCUGCAGCCACGUCACUGCUCUUCUUUUUAAAGUAGAAGCAACUGUGCAGAUCCGUUGCACAAGGACUGUUACAGAUGAACCUGUAUACUGGGUUUUGCCUGGUAAUAUGACCAAGAUACAGCCAGAGGUUGGCCAUAAGAUAGACUUGUCCUCUUCAGCUGCCCCAAAACGGCUCUGGAUCAAAACAUAAACAGACCAUCCGUAUUGAAAGGUAAAAGAAGCCGUCCUCAAAAAAGAAAAAUCCCAGCUGCUACUGUGGAGGAGUUGUCACUGCUAUUGGAUACUUUGCUGGAGCACAGUAAAACUGUGGGUUGUGGGAAUGACCCAUAAUGUUUUAUAUAGGGGUCUAGAUUUAUGCCUGAAGUGCACUGCAAUGUAAAUAAUUUGCAUUUACUGAAUAUGUACUGACUGAGUCCCACUGUUCAAAAGUUCAAUAAAGAAACAAACUAA